UACAGAGGUCCCAAGCGUUGUUCGGAUUCACUGGGCGUAAAGGGUGUGUAGGUGGCGCCGUAAGUCGGGUGUGAAAUUUCGGAGCUUAACUCCGAAACUGCAUUCGAUACUGCGGUGCUUGAGGACUGGAGAGGAGACUGGAAUUCAUGGUGUAGCAGUGAAAUGCGUAGAUAUCGUAAGGAAGACCAGUGGCGAAGGCGGGUCUCUGGACAGUUCCUGACACUGAGACACGAAGGCCAGGGGAGCAAACGGG
rnacentral:rRNA from 1 species